rnacentral:misc_RNA from 1 species
AUUUAUUAUUUAGGAAGUUAUAGAAAGGCUUCCAAAGGUUAGGAAAUUGAGUAAUGAGCAAGAAAAAGAUGUAAGACAAAUGUUGAAAUUACAUUGCAAUAAAUGGCUUGUUCAUGAGCAUAUUUAAAAUGAAACAGGAAAGAAAAUUACGUUAAAAGACAUACAUAACUUAUCAUCAAAAGAGAAAGGUUCAACAGAUGUAGAAUCUUUACUUGCAGUAUUUCAAAAUUGUGAUGGUUUGUUUUUGUACUUAUUUAUUUUGUUUUUGAAUUUUAAGUUACUUUAAUGGUUAAUACUCUUCAACUUACAAGUUUACCGAAACCUUGUUGAUAUCCAAACUUUUCAAAAAUAGUAUAAGAUAAAACAAUGUGUAACAGAAACAUUUAUACAUGCCACUGUUUGAAUUGCAAGUUUUUUUUGAAUUUUGCUACUGUUUGUUCACUACAAUUAUACUAUGCAAUUCAAACUAUUUAAAUAAACAACUUUUAAUGAAAUUUUGUUAUCAAUCAGCUGAAUUAUAUUUGCAAACACAUGUUUGUAGCAAGGCGAAUAAAGCAAUUACCAAUAUUUUCAUUUGACGGCAUUUCAAUAAGAUGGCUCAAAUCUCAUGCUACUGAAAAUCAUCGCCUUUUUCAACACCAAAACAAAAACCAUAAUCAUCUAGGAAUUGGUGUGUUAAAAGAAAGACCUUUAACACAAGCUGAAAAGUUUAAAAAAGCAAAUCGUAUCUCUCAGCGAUUAGCACAGCUUGUUUCUGAAGGAGGGAAAAGUGAAUUUGAAAGCCGAAUAAACAUCCUUCAAAAUUUAGUUAAUAUUUGGGAAGAACAUAAACAUGCAGAGAUAACUGUUUUGGACUCAGUGGAUUUAAUAAUUGAUACUAGAUCAGAAUAUGCUAUUAGUUCUAUAAGCAACCAUAACGUAUUGUGUGAUUCAACAAAAAAAGCAUUUGUUUCGUCAACAAGUAACUUAGAUUUGAUUUUAACAUGCAAUAAAACCUUAAAUAAGAAUAAUAUGCAUCCAUUAGAGGUUUCAAACUCUGAUAUUUUAGAAUUUCAUGAUGCACCUGACUUCAUCUGUAGUUCAAGUUCUCAUAUUUCAAUAAAUGAGUAUGAAAUGCAACCAAUUCCAAUAGAUAUGGAUUUCCCAAAUUGUUUAAUCGCAAUCAAAAAGCCGUUACAUUUAGAGCAAUUGCCUGUAGAUUUACACCAAGACAAUUUAGAAAAAAAUGGAUUGAUUGUUGCCGAAAUAUCUAGUCAACAUCAUAACGAUAAUAUUCAAGUUUGUGAUCAAACUUCGAUUAACAUAGUUAGUAAAAAUCUGGUAGAAGACAGUGAAUUUGGGGUAAGAAGUUUUUGUUUUAUUUCAUUUUUUAUUGUUCUUUUAUUAUCUUUCAACAAAAUUAGUAUUACUAUUUAUCGUAUUGUCAAUGUUUAUUAUUACAGUUGUCUUUUACCAUUUUUUAUUGUUUUUAAAAAGUUUAUUUUUCUGUAAAAUACCAUUUGAAAUAGUUAGCAAUGCUUGUGUAGAUUUUGGUUAUAAGUUUUAAUAAAAACAGUAAUUGUUAAACCAAAGUUAAUUAAAUCUUUUAGGCAAGCAAUAAUCUACAUGAUUCUUUAAAUAUUCAUUCAAUCAAUAUUAAAGAUCUAAAAUUUCCUCGAAAGAUUAAGUCACGAGGAAGGCCUAAGGCUAAAGAGAGAAAAACUGCAGUGGGUUUAUCUAGAUGGAAAAGAAAGUGUUUAUCUUAUACUGAUAAAAGUGUAGCCGGAAAAAUAAGUGUUCUUUUGGGUGGUAUUCUCAUGAAGAAAAAGAUAGAAGAUGUUACGCGUGAAAUGCAAGCAGAUGUAGGCGAUUUAGAAUUAAAGGCUGGCAUUCUUCCUUCUGCAUUUUUAAAUGAUGGUUUUACAAUAGAUAUUUUAAAACCAUAUUUAACCAAUCUUGCCUGGAAUAGCCUGCAGAAAUCAAUUUUGCAGCAAAAGAAACUGGGCGUAUGGAAUUGUCCGUUAUGUACUUUAAAUACAGCUUCCAGUGAAAGAUUGAGUGUGAAAGCUGUUUAGAAUGGUUUUAUUUCAAAUGUCUUAGCAUUUCAAAGAAGCCAAAGAAGGAGUGGUUUUGUGACAAAUGUCAUAAUAUAUUAAAUAAAAGCUAAUAAAAAUUAAACAAACAAAAA